GGUACUCUAGGUAGUAGAUAAUAGUUACUUUUCUGCCAGUUAAAUGAAGUGACCCUAACAUGGCUGGGCAAUUUGGCUUGCCAGUUCUGAAGUUAGCUCGUAUUAAACCCGCUACACCUGUUUGAUGGCAUCCAACAGGUGGGUUUUUACAGCAACUAUCAGUACUUCACUGAAAAUCACCAAGAAUAGAACUAAUUCAAUCUGCAUGGCCCUAUAUUACUUCUGAUAAACUUCUCUGGGUAACAUUCAUAUAGUAAACUGUAUCAUACCCAAUAAACUUUAGACAAUCAAUAAGAACAGUUAGGUCAUUACAAUCUAGAUUUUACUCUUAUUUCAAGUGCCAUAUGAAAACUCAGUGUUGCAAUAUAUAAAUACCCUGGCAGAUGUACCAGUUAGUUGAUAGUAACUUAAACCAAUAAUCAUGAUCAUCUACCAGCUAGUUGUAGAUAGUAACUUAAAUUAAUUAUCAGAUGUACCAGCUAGUAGAUAGUAACUUAAAUUAAUUAUCAGAAAACAUAUAUUUUCUUGUCUUGUCCUAUAUAAAUCUCCAUCAGAUUACGGAUACACACAUUCCACUAUACAGUGGUACCUAUGUGGGGGAUGACCUCUGACCUCUUGGAACCCGGUUUAUACAUUUGUACAUAAACUGUCAUUUCCUGUGGAGACACUUAUCUCACUGGCACAGCAUCCGACACUAUAGGUCUCUAUGUAAUACUGACUCUAACCACAGGGGCCUCGGUCAGGAUAAAAAUAUAGAUAGUUUUUUUCUGUAGCAAACAAAGAUUACUAUCAUGCUUUUCUAAAACAACAAUAAGCAACUUGAAUAUCACAUUAAUGUUGAAAAUUCUAUAUAAAAAAAAAAAAAAAAAAAUUUCAAGGUAUUUAGUUCAAGGAGGUAUUUUUUUUAUUCUAAAUAUAUCCCAAUUGUUCCCCUUCUUUAGCACAAGACGUCCUUAAAGAUUUAUUUCACCAUGUAGAUGGGCACAGAAAAGUCUUUUAUUAUAAGUUUAAUACCUUUCAAUAUCAAAUGGUGUCUGACAAAGGAAGUUCUGUGAGUCCCAUAGAAAUUCUGUGAGGACAGGACUUAGGAUUCGCAUGUAGAUUUAUCACUGGAUGCAGUCAAUACAUGAAAUUACCAUGUCUUGGGUGUGACAAAUACACAACGCUGCGGAAUAAAAGAAGACUGAUUAAAAAUUGACUCUUAGGUUUGUUAUGAUUUUUUUGUUUUUAACAUUUAUGGAAAAAAAUUAAAACAAUCAAAACUGU